GUCCAUGCCGUAAACGAUGUCUACUAGCCGUUGGGUCCUUUGAGGACUUAGUGGCGCAGCUAACGCGAUAAGUAGACCGCCUGGGGAGUACGGUCGCAAGACUAAAACUCAAAUGAAUUGACGGGGGCCCCGCACAAGCGGUGGAGCAUGUGGUUUAAUUCGAUGCAACGCGAAGAACCUUACCUGGCCUUGACAUAGUAGAAACUUUCCAGAGAUGGAUUGGUGCCUUCGGGAAUCUAUAUACAGGUGCUGCAUGGCUGUCGU
rnacentral:rRNA from 1 species